CCUGGUAGUCCACGCCGUAAACGAUGAGUGCUAAGUGUUUAGAGGGUUUCCGCCCUUUAGUGCUGCAGCAAACGCAUUAAGCACUCCGCCUGGGGAGUACGGUCGCAAGACUGAAACUCAAAGGAAUUGACGGGGGCCCGCACAAGCGGUGGAGCAUGUGGUUUAAUUCGAAGCAACGCGAAGAACCUUACCAGGUCUUGACAUCCUCUGACAACCCUAGAGAUAGGGCUUCCCCUUCGGGGGCAGAGUGACAGGUGGUGCAUGGUUGUCGUCAGCUCGUGUCGUGAGAUGUUGGGUUAAGUCCCGCAACGAGCGCAACCCUUGAUCUUAGUUGCCAGCAUUCAGUUGGGCACUCUAAGGUGACUGCCGGUGACAAACCGGAGGAAGGUGGGGAUGACGUCAAAUCAUCAUGCCCCUUAUGAC
rnacentral:rRNA from 1 species